rnacentral:lncRNA from 1 species
UGCAAAUGAAACAGCUUUAGAACAUUGAGACCUAUUGGAAUUUUCUGGUUAAAUCAGGAUUGCAACUGUUUCCUACAAGCUUCCAAAAACUACUAUAGCUUCCUCGUAAAUGUAAGUAACCAAGUCAAAAACCAAGUAAACCCAGGAAAGUCAACACACACAACAAACCAACGACAUUAGUCGAAUUUAGCUGAAGGACUAAAAAUUUCCUGAGCUUUUUGAUAUAUGAGCCUAAGAGAAGCAAUUGUUGGUAGCAAAAUCAAAGCUUGGUCUGACUCUGACCCAUGAACAUGAUCAGAAUCUGAAUCUGGUCAAAGUGAAAAGAUAACCAAAGGUCGAAGAUAGAAGCAGUGGGAAGAGAAUGAAC